GCACUCUAUUGAGAGGUACUUGUUCGUCACGAGCGGGUAUCUCUCCGUAAACACCUGUGAGCACUGAAAUGAUUUGUGGAUGGAAGAGUGGAGACGGCUCAGGCCUUUGGCCUGCGCUGGUUGAAGCUUUUUCCUUUUUUACUUUUUUAAACCCCAACAACCUAUCUUUAACAAUUACAAAGACUGAACUGUCUCUUGCCACAAACAAGAGACAACCUUGAUAUUCUAACCAAAGAAA
rnacentral:misc_RNA from 1 species